GACGAACGCUGGCGGCGUGCCUAAUACAUGCAAGUCGAGCGCAGGAAACUGACGGAACUCUUCGGAGGGAAGGCAGUGGAAUGAGCGGCGGACGGGUGAGUAACACGUAAGGAACCUGCCACAAGGAUUGGGAUAACUCCGAGAGAUCGGAGCUAAUACCGGAUAGUUCAACGGACCGCAUGGUCCGCUGAUGAAAGGCGCUCCGGCGUCACCUUGAGAUGGCCUUGCGGUGCAUUAGCUAGUUGGUGGGGUAACGGCCCACCAAGGCGACGAUGCAUAGCCGACCUGAGAGGGUGAUCGGCCACGCUGGGACUGAGACACGGCCCAGACUCCUACGGGAGGCAGCAGUAGGGAAUCUUCCACAAUGGACGAAAGUCUGAUGGAGCAACGCCGCGUGGGUGAUGAAGGUUUUCGGAUCGUAAAACUCUGUUGUAAGGGAAGAACACGUACGAGAGGGAAUGCUCGUACCUUGACGGUACCUUACGAGAAAGCCACGGCUAACUACGUGCCAGCCGCCGCUGUAA
rnacentral:rRNA from 1 species